AUUGAACGCUGGCGGCAGGCCUAACACAUGCAAGUCGAGCGGAUGAAGGGAGCUUGCUCCUGGAUUCAGCGGCGGACGGGUGAGUAAUGCCUAGGAAUCUGCCUGGUAGUGGGGGAUAACGUCCGGAAACGGGCGCUAAUACCCCAUCCGUCCGGAGGGGGAAGGUGGGGGAUCUUGGGACCUCACGCUAUCAGAUGAGCCUAGGUCGGAUUAGCUAGUUGGUGGGGUAAAGGCCUACCAAGGCGACGAUCCGUAACUGGUCUGAGAGGAUGAUCAGUCACACUGGAACUGAGACACGGUCCAGACUCCUACGGGAGGCAGCAGUGGGGAAUAUUGGACAAUGGGCGAAAGCCUGAUCCAGCCAUGCCGCGUGUGUGAAGAAGGUCUUCGGAUUGUAAAGCACUUUAAGUUGGGAGGAAGGGCAGUAAGUUAAUACCUUGCUGUUUUGACGUUACCAACAGAAUAAGCACCGGCUAACUUCGUG
rnacentral:rRNA from 1 species